GACGAACGCUGGCGGCGUGCUUAACACAUGCAAGUCGAACGGAAAGGCCCUGCUUUUGUGGGGUGCUCGAGUGGCGAACGGGUGAGUAACACGUGAGUAACCUGCCCUUGACUUUGGGAUAACUCCACGAAACUGGGGCUAAUACCGGAUAGGAGCUCCUGCUGCACGGUGGGGGUUGGAAAGUUUCGGCGGUUGGGGAUGGACUCGCGGCUUAUCAGCUUGUUGGUGUGGUAGUGGCUUACCAAGGCUUUGACGGGUAGCCGGCCUGAGAGGGUGACCGGCCACAGUGCGACUGAGGUACGGCCCAGACUCCAACGGGAGGCAGCGGUGGGAAAUAUUGCACAAUGGGCGGAAGCCUGAUGCAGCGACGCCGCGUUCGGGAUGACGGCCUUCGGGUUGUAAACCGCUUUCGCCUUUGACGAAGCCUGAGUGACGGUAACGGGUAAAAAAGCACCGGCUAACUACGUG
rnacentral:rRNA from 1 species